rnacentral:lncRNA from 7 species
AGCUCUCGCGCCUGCUGGCACUGAGCCGCCUGUGGCUUGGGCACAGCACUUCAAAAGCCAUUUCUGGCACACGGACGAAAUAUUUUGAACUCUUGAUCACCAUAUUUGAGCUGGACCUGGCAGCAGACUAUCUUUGGGAUGCCAGCUUCCUUGGCCCUGGGAGCUUCCAGGACAGUCCCCCAUCAGCGUGGAUGCCUCCACCCCACAGGAGCUGGUGGCCUUGGUGUGUCUCAGCCAACACUGACCUGCCCAGGGGAUGUGACUGUGAUGACUUAACGUUGGCAGUUAAUAGAGCUUUGUUUUCAAAGUUUGACAAUGAGAAGAAAUGCUUGCAAAUGCUUUGUCUGACGUUCUGUCUCCAGCUGCCGAGAGGAUGAGCAGCAGAGACUUCCAUCAUCUCAGGUGGGAAACCCUGAAACUGUCCUGUGCCGUGCCCUUCUGUCAUCCCUUCUGGGUGAGCUGUGGGUGCUGCUGUUGAUGUUUGUGUGUGCUGCACUGAUUUUGUUCUCAUAGGAAUUGGCAGCUGGGCAUCUCAGGCUCUUUAUUAAUGUCAGUAAUUCAAAAUAUCUGAGCUUAGUCUGUAUUCCUACAGUGGGGCCACUGGGGGAGAAUAUAGGUUACAGUGUGACUCUGUAAUUACUCUGAGGUAAACAAUAUGAUGGAAAGUACACAAUUUACAUUAGGUGUUGUUACUAAUGCCUUAACAGCCCUAGCAGUGCAGUGAGCCCACCAGCCCCUGUGCCCAGCUGCCGGGCAGAGCCUGCCUGUAGCAGUGGGUCAGCUUGCUCUGCUUGUUGGAUCAACGCUGUCUGUGGUGUUUGCUGCAUCUGAAACUUGGCUGUCUAGAUCUUGCCCCUGGAUCAAGAAGUGUGUGCUCAUUAAAGUGAAUUCAGUCCUAUCAGAGAUUUGUUAAUGGCUGCAUUAAAUUGUGUUGGUUCUGGGGGU